CUUCUGCUGAUGAUAACUUUGUCCAGUUCUGCUACUGAAAUUAUGUGGUGAUAUUUGUCAACCUGAAGAAG
ensembl:snoRNA